rnacentral:snoRNA from 1 species
GCAUUUUAUGAUGAUAAACUUCAAUUUUUUGCUGGCCUAUUGAGAACAGAGCGCUUCCGCAAGAGGCGUUUUUAGGACAUCCCGCACAGCCUUGUGGCUGCGUGUCUCCAUUGCUUCAGGUUUGAAGCAGACACCGUUUUGGCGUCUGUUUCUCACGGCCUGGGUAAUGUGGGUCCUGGGUCCUUUAAUGUGAUGAGUGGUUAGUACUUUUAUGUCAUAGUUACACUGAGAAUGC